rnacentral:rRNA from 1 species
GACGAACGCUGGAGGCGUGCUUAACACAUGCAAGUCGAACGAUGAAAUGGAGCUUGCUCCAUGGAUUAGUGGCGAACGGGUGAGUAACACGUGAAUAACCUGCCCUUAAUUUUGGAAUAACCCAGGGAAACCUGGGCUAAUACCGGAUAAGUAAACCUGUGGCAUCACAUGGUUUUGGAAAGUUUUUCGAUUAAGGAUGGAUUCGCGGCCUAUCAGCUUGGUGGUGAGGUAAUGGCUCACCAAGGCGACGCCGGGUAGCCGGCGUGAGAGGGGGAACGGCAACACUGGGACUGAGACACGGCCCAGACUCCUACGGGGGGCAGCAGUGGGGAAUAUUGCGCAAUGGACGAAAGUCUGAGUCAGCGACGCCUCGUGAGGGACGAAGGUCUUCGGAUUGUAAACCUCUUUCAGCAGGGACGAAGUGAAAGUGACGGUACCUGCAGAAGAAGCACCGGCUAACUAUGUGCCAGCCGCCGCCGUAA